rnacentral:tRNA from 2 species
GGAGAGGUGCUGGAGUGGCUGAACAGGGCUGCCUGCUAAGCAGUUACUCGGGGGAACCUGGGUCGGGGGUUCGAAUCCCCCCCUCUCCGCCA